rnacentral:lncRNA from 1 species
CAAAGCUGGUUGGGGAGGGGAGUCAGGCACCCCAGAGGGAGGGAGGGGCCCGUGGGCACGGGGGUGCUGGCCAGGCAGGGACGGACUGGCACCUGCAGGAAGGACAGGGGCUUGGCUGAGCAGAGCAUGGCCAGCCUAGCCGAGGGCAGCCAGCAUCCUACACUCACUGGUCUCGAGGUGCCCAAGCCAGGGGCCCAGGACUUUGGGCAUUACUGGGAAAUGAUGGGAACCCAGGGUGAGGUGGCGUGAAACAAGAUGAGAUGCUCAAUGAUUUGGGAGGUUGGUUAGUGUCAGGCCUCUGAGCCCAAGCCAAGCCAUCGCAUCCCCUGUGACUUGCACGUAUACGCCCAGAAGGCCUGAAGUAACUGAAGAAUCACAAAAGAAGUGACUAUGCCCUGCCCCACCUUAACUGAUGACAUUCCACCACAAAAGAAGUGCAAAUGGCCGGCCCUUGCCUUAACUGAUGACAUUACCUUGUGAAAGUCCUUUUCCUGGCUCAUCCUGGCUCAAAAAGCACCCCCACCGAGCACCUUGCAACCCCCACUCCUGCCCGCCAGAGAACAAACCCCCUUUGACUGUAAUUUUCCUUUACCUACCCAAAUCCUAUAAAACGGCCCCAAACUUAUCUCCCUUGGCUGACUCUCUUUUCGGACUCAGCCCGUCUGCACCCAGGUGAAAUAAACAGCCAUGUUGCUCACACAAAGCCUGUUUGGUGGUCUCUUCACACGGACGCGCAUGAAAGUUAGUACAAUACAGAGAACAUAGGGAGAAAAUAUAAAAUGGCACUGAACACCAAUGCCAAUUCUUAUCUCAUUAUGGUUAUAAUGAAGGAUAUUAUUAAUAUUUGUUAUUUGUUUUUCUUUAGAACAUAAAUCAAUGCCAUUAACUUGAACUUGAGGUACAUACAAAAUACACGCACAACCUUAACUAAUAUACUUUUCAUAAGUAACAUCACAUUUUAAAAUAUUGAAAACUGAGUAUCUCUGCUGAUUUGUAUUUUGACUUAAUGGAACAAGAAGAAAACAACAUUCAACUCGGGAGAGUUAUGCUGAUAAUAAAAUUCUUAAAAUUCAAAAUGUCUUCCUCUCCCUUUGUACUUACCACAGGCUACACAAUGUCCUGAGAGGAUUCAUUAAGAGAAAAAUGUCAAUCACAGCUUUAAUAACUUACUUUGGAUAAAACUAAUGAGAAAGCAAAUUGGAAGGUGAGACUUCAUCUUUGUUUUCUUUUUCUUUGACUUUGAAAAAAUCUGAUUUUAUUUUCUGAAUCAAAAAGAAGUAUUUCAUGUUAAAUUUAGACUGUUUAGCUUUCCACUAUCUCAAGAUACUUUCCAGAUAUUAACAGUACUCAGAACUGUGUAAAAGUGAACAACCAA